AGAGUUUGAUCAUGGCUCAGAUUGAACGCUGGCGGUAUGCCUAACACAUGCAAGUCGAACGAGGUAGCAAUACCUAGUGGCGGACGGGUGAGGAAUACGUAGGGAUCUGCCCUUAAGUGGGGGAUAACCCGGGGAAACCCGGAUUAAUACCGCAUGAUCUCGCAAGAGCAAAGAGGGGGACCGCAAGGCCUCUCGCUUUUGGAGGAACCUACGUCGGAUUAGCUAGUUGGUGAGGUAAUGGCUCACCAAGGCGACGAUCCGUAACUGGUCUGAGAGGAUGAUCAGUCACACCGGAACUGAGACACGGUCCGGACUCCUACGGGAGGCAGCAGUGGGGAAUAUUGGACAAUGGGCGAAAGCCUGAUCCAGCAAUACCGCGUGUGUGAAGAAGGCCUUCGGGUUGUAAAGCACUUUAAGUUGGGAAGAAAAAGCUUCACCUAAUACGUGAAGCCUUGACGGUACCGACAGAAUAAGCACCGGCUAACUCUGUGCCAGCAGCCGCGGUAAUACAGAGGGUGCUAGCGUUAAUCGGAUUUACUGGGCGUAAAGCGUGCGUAGGUGGUUUGAUAAGUCGAUUGUGAAAGCCCCGGGCUUAACCUGGGAAUUGCGGUCGAUACUGUCAGACUCGAAAACGGUAGAGGGAGGUGGAACUCCAGGUGUAGCGGUGAAAUGCGUAGAUAUCUGGAAGAACACCGAUGGCGAAGGCAGCCUCCUGGGCCUGUUUUGACACUGAGGCACGAAAGCGUGGGUAGCAAACAGGAUUAGAUACCCUGGUAGUCC
rnacentral:rRNA from 1 species